rnacentral:rRNA from 1 species
AACGUAGGUGGCAAGCGUUAUCCGGAUUUACUGGGCGUAAAGCGUGUGCAGGCGGGUGGAAAAGGGGUGUAUGAAAUCGCCAGGCUAAACCUGGCGGGGUUAUGCCAGACUGUUUAUCUGGAGUGCGAGAGAGGGGCGUGGAAUUCCGGGUGUAGUGGUGAAAUGCGUAGAGAUCCGGAGGAACCCCAGAGGCGAAGGCGGCGCCCUGGCUCGCAACUGACGCUCAGACACGACAGCAUGGGGAGCGAACGGG